rnacentral:RNase_P_RNA from 1 species
CCAGGGGGCCGGGCAGCCGCGGGGUUCGCAAGAACCGCGAGGAAAGUCCGGGCUCCACGAAGCAAGGGUGGCGGGUAACGCCCGCCGGACGCAAGUCUAGGGAAAGUGCCACAGAGAGCAGACCGCCCCAUUUAUGGGGUAAGGGUGAAAGGGUGCGGUAAGAGCGCACCGGGGCCUUGGUAACAAGGCUCGCACGGCAAACCCCACCCGGAGCAAGACCGAAUAGGGGCGGCGCGCUGGUCGGAAACGAUCAGCUGGUGUGUUUCGCAUCGAUCGCCCGGGUUGGUCGCUUGAGCCGCGCAGCAAUGCACGGCCUAGAGGAAUGGCUGCCAGUGCGGAUACGGUCUCUCUUGGGAUACCGUCCGCGCUACAGAACCCGGCUUACAGGCCCCCUGGCGAA